rnacentral:tRNA from 1 species
GGGGUUAUAGCUCAGUUGGUAGAGCACCUGCAUGGCAUGCAGGGGGUCAGCGGUUCGAGCCCGCUUAACUCCA